GCGCCCGUACCUCAACGGAUAGAGGAGCGGUCUACGAAACCGAAUGUUGUGGGUUCGAAUCCCGCCGGGCGCGCCA
rnacentral:tRNA from 1 species